rnacentral:rRNA from 1 species
CACACGACUCUCGGCAACGGAUAUCUCGGCUCUCGCAUCGAUGAAGAACGUAGCGAAAUGCGAUACCUGGUGUGAAUUGCAGAAUCCCGCGAACCAUCGAGUCUUUGAACGCAAGUUGCGCCCAAGGCCAUUCGGCUGAGGGCACGCCUGCCUGGGCGUCACG